rnacentral:rRNA from 1 species
UGAGGAAUAUUGCGCAAUGGAGGCAACUCUGACGCAGCCAUGCCGCGUGCAGGAAGAAGGCGCUACGCGUUGUAAACUGCUUUUAACCGGGAAGAAACCCCAGGACGUGUCCUGGGUUGACGGUACCGGAGGAAUAAGCACCGGCUAACUUCGUGCCAGCAGCCGCGGUAAUACGAAGGGUGCAAGCGUUAUCCGGAUUCAUUGGGUUUAAAGGGUGCGUAGGCGGGGUGGUAAGUCAGUGGUGAAAUCCUGCGGCUCAACCGUAGAAUUGCCAUUGAUACUGCCAUUCUUGAGUAGGCUCGACGUGGGCGGAAUGUGCCGUGUAGCGGUGAAAUGCUUAGAUAUGGCACAGAACACCGAUAGUGAAGACAGCUCACGAGGGCCAAACUGACGCUGAGGCACGAAAGCGUGGGGAUCGAACAGG